AGGACGAACGCUGGCGGCGUGCCUAAUACAUGCAAGUCGAGCGGACCGACGGGAGCUUGCUCCCUUAGGUCAGCGGCGGACGGGUGAGUAACACGUGGGUAACCUGCCUGUAAGACUGGGAUAACUCCGGGAAACCGGGGCUAAUACCGGAUGCUUGUUUGAAUCGCAUGGUUCAAACAUAAAAGGUGGCUUUUCGCUACCACUUACAGAUGGACCCGCGGCGCAUUAGCUAGUUGGUGGGGUAACGGCUCACCAAGGCAACGAUGCGUAGCCGACCUGAGAGGGUGAUCGGCCACACUGGGACUGAGACACGGCCCAGACUCCUACGGGAGGCAGCAGUAGGGAAUCUUCCGCAAUGGACGAAAGUCUGACGGAGCAACGCCCGCGUGAGUGAUGAAGGUUUUCGGAUCGUAAAACUCUGUUGUUAGGGAAGAACAAGUACCGUUCGAACAGGGCGGUACCUUGACGGUACCUAACCAGAAAGCCACGGCUAACUACGUGCCAGCCGCCGC
rnacentral:rRNA from 1 species